GCUUGCACUGAUUUUAACAAUGAAGCGAGUGGCGAACUGGUGAGUAACACGUGGGAAAUCUGCCCAGAAGCAGGGGAUAACACUUGGAAACAGGUGCUAAUACCGCUAUAACAACAAAAUCCGCAUGGAUUUUGUUUGAAAGGUGGCUUCGGCUAUCACUUCUGGAUGAUCCCGCGGCGUAUUAGUUAGUUGGUGAGGUAAAGGCCCACCAAGACGAUGAUACGUAGCCGACCUGAGAGGGUAAUCGGCCACAUUGGGACUGAGACACGGCCCAAACUCCUACGGGAGGCAGCAGUAGGGAAUCUUCCACAAUGGACGAAAGUCUGAUGGAGCAAUGCCGCGUGAGUGAAGAAGGGUUUCGGCUCGUAAAACUCUGUUGUUAAAGAAGAACACCUUUGAGAGUAACUGUUCAAGGGUUGACGGUAUUUAACCAGAAAGCCACGGCUAACUACGUGCCAGCAGCCGCGGUAAUACGUAGGUGGCAAGCGUUGUCCGGAUUUAUUGGGCGUAAAGCGAGCGCAGGCGGUUUUUUAAGUCUGAUGUGAAAGCCUUCGGCUUAACCGGAGAAGUGCAUCGGAAACUGGGAGACUUGAGUGCAGAAGAGGACAGUGGAAC
rnacentral:rRNA from 2 species